rnacentral:lncRNA from 1 species
UUCUACAUGCACUUCUGUUGGGGAACUAUUCAUGUUUGGUUUCUUUGAUGAUUUUUCUCCUUCCUCUUCCUUCAUUAUUUUUCAUUCUCCUCUUCAUUUUCUGUUACUUCUUUUCAUUUCUCAAGUGUUUCAUGUCGGUAAAUUCUUUUACUUUAUAGUUUAAUUAAGCGUUUAAGAUUUUAACCUAAAUUUUAAAAUUGGAGAUUUUUACAAUUCAAUCAAUCUUCAAGCGGUUAAAUAUUCUCAAAUACAGAUAGUGUUUCUUGGAAUUUCAAGGGAACAAAUUGGCGAAGACUACAAUAAAGAUGCUUGAUAGUGCUAUGUGGGGCUCAUAUAGAGAGGUAAGGAAUUGAAUUUCACAUCCUGGGUAAGCUAUAAGGAUUCCUUUGCCAACUUUGAUCUUUCAUUUAUUGGGAUUUUAAUUUUUGCUCUUUCUAAUUCUCCUCUUUCUCUCUCUGUUGACUGUUGUUGGAUUGCAAUUGUUUGAACGGUAAAUGAUAAUCAAAUCUUUGCUACUUCUUCAUUUCUAUAAUCUUUUUUCCUGCAAUCUCAGUAUAAUACAACUGCCUCGCCGAACUUGUUCUCUUGGCUAUUGAAAAUCUUAGUCCUAUUUGCUAUAUCUCACCAGUUAUCUUUGAUUUUUGCAGGUUUAAUGACUUUUGAUGAGGAAAAAAUAUUGUUGGGAUGUUAGUGGCUAAAUUUAUUCUCCCAAAUCCCAUUCCAUUGCCUCAUUGUGGUAUGAUAUGGAUGAGUUGUUGUGACUUUAAGCUUACCCCUCCUCUUUUCCUCCCUUUUUUUGUGGCUAUAUUUCUUUUAUGUGCUUCCAUUUUUGGGUGCAUGUCGGUUCACUUUGUCUUCUUUAACAAUUGCGCGUAUGAUUUUUUUCACGGUUUGUAACUUUGAUGAUCUGGC